AGUGAACGCUGGCGGUAGGCCUAACACAUGCAAGUCGAACGGCAGCACAGUAAGAGCUUGCUCUUACGGGUGGCGAGUGGCGGACGGGUGAGGAAUACAUCGGAAUCUACUUUUUCGUGGGGGAUAACGUAGGGAAACUUACGCUAAUACCGCAUACGACCUACGGGUGAAAGCAGGGGAUCUUCGGACCUUGCGCGAUUGAAUGAGCCGAUGUCGGCUUAGCUAGUUGGCGGGGUAAAGGCCCACCAAGGCGACGAUCCGUAGCUGGUCUGAGAGGAUGAUCAGCCACACUAGAACUGAGACACGGUCCAGACUCCUACGGGAGGCAGCAGUGGGGAAUAUUGGACAAUGGGCGCAAGCCUGAUCCAGCCAUACCGCGUGGGUGAAGAAGGCCUUCGGGUUGGAAAGCCCUUUUGUUGGGAAAGAAAAGCAGCAGGUUAAUACCCCGCUGUUCUGACGGUACCCAAAGAAUAAGCACCGGCUAACUUCGUG
rnacentral:rRNA from 1 species